rfam:Strongylocentrotus purpuratus Contig38517_fixed, whole genome shotgun sequence.
GGCAUGGAGGCUCAAUGGUUAGAGCGCCCGCCUCUUAAACGGGAGGUCGUGGGUUCGAUCCCCGGCCGAGUCA